rnacentral:lncRNA from 1 species
GGAGUUGGAGUAAGAAGAAAGACCAUCAGAGUGAUGUAUACAUAUAUAUGACAGAAGAAUAAUUGACCUAGAAGCCAAAACAUCACCCUGAUCUACCAAGAAAGCUGACACUGGAAGAGAGGCUGACACGAGAGGACUUCCUAAUCCUGAAUUCUAGAAUGAGAACCUGAAUCUGAGAAGCCAAGGAAAAGAGGAAGCCUCUUGGAAAAGAGGCUAAGCUAAGAAGGUAGAAAGGAGAAGAAAAGGGCAGCAGGCUAGACCGCUGGUGAGAGAGAACCUCCGUGGCUUGUCUGGUCUGAACUGUACCAUGAGCUGCACCGGAAGUGCUGUUAACCAGGAAGAUGGUGAGAUCGUCCCUGGAGACAGGGUGCAGGUCGAGAGGUACUUCCUCAGCAAGAGUAAGGCGAAUCUCUCUGAGUCCUGGUCACGUAAAAAUGGGAUGCUUCCUGGCCCUCCCGCUCAGUGGGUGGAGCUGUCACAUGACCAGGCUCCCUUGGAUUCCUCUGCGAGCAGGGCAGAACCAUAGGAGAGAACAGCCGCAGAGGGAUGGGAGCUUGUUGCCUGGCUCCAGGCUCCUCUGCCAGCGCUCCCUGUCCACAGUUGUAGCCGAAUGACUGAAGACCCAGCCUGGUUGUCAGAUCUGGCGUCUUGUCUCACUGCUGUACCUAACUGGUUAAGAUAACUCUCUAAACGUCUGUAAGUUCAGUUUUACUGUGAAUAAAAACGAGCAUCC